CAGGGAGACAAACAAUGAUCAUGAUGCUUGAGUGUUUUUAUAUUCUUAAGCCUUGAUCCUGUCACCUUAGGUCGAUCGGUACCUCAAACUAAUUAAAUUACUUUUUGAGAAAUCAUUAGUAUAAAAAAUUGGUCUCAGUUCCUAAACUUGUCUAGGUCACACCCAACAAGGGUACUCCUGGGCCAUUAGCUCAGGUGGUUAGAGCGCACCCCUGAUAAGGGUGAGGUCCCUGGUUCAAGUCCAGGAUGGCCCAUUCGGUGUUGGGGGUAUAGCUCAGUUGGUAGAGCGCCUGCUUUGCAAGCAGGAUGUCAGCGGUUCGAGUCCGCUUACCUCCACUGAUCGACCUCCUGAUAGCGAAAUUACAAGGAGAUUGACGUUGUUGGAUGUGAUUUAGAGUUUGUUCGUCUGAAUGAACCUAGCUUCUUAUCAUUGCUAUUUAAUUUAAAUAGAUUGUUGAUAUGACGCUGGGCUCACUGGAAUUUAAAAUUUCAGAGAACUUCAGCAGAACCUUGACAACUGCAUAGGUGAGUCUAGAAAGAAUAAAGCAUCUCAUGGAUGCAUUACUUUUAGAUAAGUAAAGCAAUUAAUUUAUUAAAAGCUUUAUUUUUUGAGUAAUGUCUAAUUCUUGAGCAAGAGCUGAGACUCUAUAGUGUUCUUUUGAUACUAUCUAGGUAUUAAAAGUCUGAUCAUUUAAUUAUUUUUUAUAGAAAUUUAUAGUGAUGUUUUUCUCCGUAAGUUUCAUUUUUAAAAUUGAUAAUUAAUGAGAAUACGUUUUCAACUGCGUUAAGCGCUAUAGAGGUUUAUUU
rnacentral:tRNA from 1 species